rnacentral:lncRNA from 1 species
CCCGCAUGGCUGCCAAUGUGAUAAGGAUGCAACCAGGGCCGACACGGAUGGCGGUUCAGUUCUUUUGAACUGUUCAUCGCAGACACCAUCCAGAAAAUCAUUCUGGACUGCACUAAUUUGGAGGGAAGGUGUGUUUUUGGAGAGAGAUGGAAGGAGAUGGACCAAACUCAUUUUCUUAUCCUUGCUGAACUUUUUGCAUCCCACAGGGAUUCCCCAUUGGAUCUGAAAACUGGCAAAGAACUUUUCUGUGCUACAAUGUCUCUGGAAAACAUACACAUUAUUUCCAGGAUUAUCUGCUUCGAUAACCGAAACACCAGAUCAGCUCGGCGGCAGAGAGACAAGCUAGCUGCAAUCAGAUGGAAGCGGGGUGAACAGGACAUGACUCGGGUGGCUGAGGUCCUUGAUAAUCUUCUUGGACUUCCUGUGACACCGGGUGCUUUAGAUGUCCUGGAUGGCUAGCAGUGUGCCACCAGUGAUGCGUUUGGAUGACCGCAACACCCUCUGGAGAGCCCUGCGGUUGCGGACGGCGCAAUUGCUGCAUCAGGAAAAAGGUUCAACAUAAACACACGCCCAGAGGGACUACUACUUCGCCUGAAUGGCAGUCUACUCUGUCACGCCAAUAUUGUUGGGAAGAGCACAGAUCUGGGACCAGGCUAACUUCAACAUUCCUUACUGAGGCUCCCAGGAUGAUGAAGAUGUGGGAGUCAGAUGGAUGGGAGAGCUCUCUUCUCAGCCGUCCAAAUACCUCAGAAAGGGACCUGAGCCCUAGGACCAUGCCUCAGGACAAUCUGGUAUGAUGACUCCUUGCUGUCCCCAGUCCACCUGGCCGUGCUGCUGCUCCAGUUUCAACUGUUCUGCCUGCGGCUAUGGAACCCUGACCUGUUCACCGGACGUGCUUAUUGCACCCUCGACAACUGCUAUGAUUAUUAUUAUUUGACCAUGCUGGUCAUUUAUGAACAUUUUAACAUCUUGACCAUGUUCUGUUAUAAUAUCCACCCUGCACAGCCAGAAAAGGACUGGCCACCCCUCAUAGCCUGGUUCCUCUCUAGGUUUCUUCCUAGGUUUUUGGCCUU